CCCUUAGACGUUCUGGGCCGCACGCGCGCUACACUGACGAAGGCAACGAGCUUUCCUUUACCGAAAGGUACGGGUAAUCUUUUGAAACUUCGUCGUGCUGGGGAUAGAUCCUUGCAAUUUUUGAUCUUAAACGAGGAAUGCCUAGUAAGCGCAAGUCAUCAACUUGCGUUGAUUACGUCCCUGCCCUUUGUACACACCGCCCGUCGCUACUACCGAUUGAAUGGUUUAGUGAGAUCUCUGGAUUGACGCUGGCUAGGGGGCGACCCUUGGCCAGACUGUUGAGAAACUGCUCAAACUUGAUCAUUUAGAGGAAGUAAAAGUCGUAACA
rnacentral:rRNA from 1 species